AGGUUCUGUAUCGAUAAUGGUGCUAUGAUAGCGCAGGCUGGAUGGGAGAUGUUCCGGGCAGGCCAUGUGACUGCGCUGGAGGAUUCGUGGAUCACACAGAGGUACAGGACAGAUGAGGUGGAGGUUACGUGGCGGAGUUAAAGGGUGACCUCCGGGGUUAAAGGACUAUCUCCGGCAUCAGCGUACGACAGCAGUGUCUGGGAGUGAAGCCAAGAUUACCUUUGAGUAUUUCGCUUUCCUCCUCUGAACUUCCUCAACACCAGGGCAGGACAAGAUUCUUAUCUAACAACUCAACAUCAAAUCUUGGAACUUUUAACAAUAAAUAAAAAAGGCUUUAAGUCCUAA